GCGGAGCAGGGCGCGCCGCCAGCGCUCAUGGGGAGGACGCUCCUCGGCGGGCUCGUCGGCGCCAUAGUCCUCGUACUCGUCCGCCGUCCGCUCGGGCUCCACCGGCACGAUGAAGGGCUCGCGCUCAGGCAGCUGUGCCUUCUACUCUCAGCACUCGCAGUAGGACACUAAGUGGUAGGUCGGCGUACAAGACUGUGAUGGAAAAAGACAAAUGAUUUCCUGAAGACUUUCCUCAGCCUCAACACGAGAGUCCUGGGUGGCCUCACCAGGACUGGAUUCACAGAAAAGAUUGGGUCUCCGGCACUGAUUUCAUCAUAAGUCAAGAGCAAAACUGAAAUCUGCCACAAAUGAGCAAGAUGCCUACUAGGGUCCAGUCGGCUUUCCAUCACAGAGGCCUACAGGGGGUAUCUGAGUUCUGAAGGCGUAGAAGAGAUGUCCCUGACGGCAUAGAAAGUGCCACGGAAAUCAAGACUAUUCUUAGAGUUACGUAAAAGAUGCCUCACAACAAAGAUUUUAAUUUUAGGAUUCAAAGCAAUUUGCUAGGAUUCUUGAAUCUCUUUCCAAUGAACCAAAAUUCCUUUUAGGGACUUGGUUUUCCAAAUAUGAUCAAAGAAAACAUUUUUCCAAAAUUAAAAUUCUGACAACUCAUUUGAAGUCCCACCAUUUUGUUUCAUAGACCUUGAGAUUGACCUGGUAUCGGUUGGUCCGCUGAUAUUAGCUUUUCUGCCUCCCGUGAGGUGUGUGAACUCUGCAUUUCCAGCCAUGCAAAUUGAAUUAUGGGGGGUUCUUAAUUAAUAGGCAACAAUGUGAUAUCAUUUCCAACAUCCUUACAGCCUGCCCAAGAAAACUUACUCUAUCUCCUGGAGGGCCCAUUGGUCCUGGUGGGCCAGGUAAUCCUGGGGUUCCCUACACAAAAGGAAACAAACAAGUGAAACACUGUAAUUAACUUCUUGUGUGAGAAAAGGGAUUUGUGUUAUUCUCUAAGAUGUCUGGGGAAAAAAUGCAGGGGGCUCUGAAAGGAAACAGACACUCAGAAGCAAGCCCAGUGCCAGCCCAAGAGGAAGAUGCUCGCUCAGUCAUCAAGCCCAGACCUGACUGAACAGCACAAGCUUGAAGACUAACCAGGCAACGGAAUGGAAAUGACGUGCAGCACACGGCCAGGCUUCUGCUUUGCUGCUUAACCUUGGCUCACCUUUUGAGGCACCACAAGGGCAACUAUGCAAAUAACACUUGACCAGCAAAGAAAAGGCAGCGUGAAGAACAGCUCACCGUCCGGCCUGGAAGUCCCGGCUCUCCAGCAUCGCCCUUCAUGCCCUGGCGACCCUGGAGCAAACAGAGGGAAAACAGGUCUCAGGUGUUUUACAGAAAUUAAGUGAAAAGGAAAGACGUGAGCCAUUCCUGAAAUCUCUGUCACUUCAUAAAUCCAGUGAAGCAUAUUUGUGAUGGGAGGUGAAUCAAUUAUUGGAGGGACUGAUGUUCACUUUUUAAACUACAAAUGCUGUUAUAAUUUCCACUUAUCAUGUGAUGGGAUAAUUUUAUAUAAUCAUGGGAGAAUAUGUCUCCUUUGAAAGAACCUAAUUGAACAUAGGGAUUUUCAUAGAAAUAGAAGUUGAAGGGAAAACUGUUUUAUUUAAUAUAUUUAAUUUGGUGCUCAUUUUAAUAGAUAUUCAAUGAAACACUGUAACAUAAUUUUGGUCUUUAUAACUACAUGCUAGAAGACACUUGUUACACAGGCAAAUCUGAAUUAAUUAAAGCUGAUAAACUUCAUUUAGUAGCAAUAAUAAGAAAAGUUAAAAGCCCCUAAAUCUCCCUUUUGGACAUAAGAAGCUAAAAGUUAGAUGCAUUCAACCCUUUUGAGUGAAAAAGUCCUAGCCCUUCAAAUGUUUCAUUUCUAGUGAUAUCUGAUACAGAUUGUUUUUCCUCUAAAUGCCAAAAGGAUGUAUGUGUCUUCUAUUAUGGCAUCUUUAAAAAGGAGUUUAGAACUAAACUUAAAACUAUGAAAUUAUCUGUAUUCUUAUUCAUUUACUGUUAUGUUUUAAAGUAUAGAAAAAAGUAGUUAAAUAAAAUAUGAGCCUUUAAAGAUAAAACACCUCUUUAUAAGUUCAGAUUAGCAUUUGGAACAAAAGGUAAACAUGUUAUUAAAAAUUUUUA